CUGGAUAGAUCCUAGAACAAUUUAGGGGUUAGUGUUGACAAGCUUGUUUCAUUGAUUAGAUGAAAGUAAUGAGAGAGAGAGAGAGAGAGAGAGAGAGAGAGAGAGAGAGAGAGAGACAAGGGCAAGCGUGGUCCUGGAAGAGGGAAGGUGGCACUGUUUAACAAGGGACUACAUCUUCGGCAUUGUUCAGAAAUACCAGGUCAACUUGCAUUCCUUAAAGAACUACAUUUCUGUCAAAAAUUUAGCACACUGGCUCGAGACCCAUCAUCUGGUUCAAGAUGCUGACUUUGUCAAUAGUGUGGGGCCUGAGAAUCUGCCUUAUAAGAGAGCACCCUGGACAUUUCUAAACCAGGCUGCAGAGAGACAGGCACUCCUCAAGGGAAAUAGUCUCCUAACUCUUCUCCUCAAA